GAUUGCGAUCAUACCAGCACUAAUGCACCGGAUCCCAUCAGAACUCCGCAGUUAAGCGUGCUUGGGCGAGAGUAGUUCUAGGAUGGGUGACCCCCUGGGAAGUCCUCGUGUUGCAACCCC
rnacentral:rRNA from 1 species